rnacentral:rRNA from 1 species
AGACAGCCCAGACCGUCGUCUAAGGUCCCGAAGCGUGUGCUAAGUGGGAAAGGAUGUGGAGUCGCAUAGACAGCCAGGAGGUUGGCUCAGAAGCAGCCAUCCUUGAAAGAGUGCGUAACAGCUCACUGGUCUAGUGGUUCCGCGCCGACAAUGUAGCGGGGCUCAAGCACACCACCGAAGACGCGGCAGCAAUCUUCAUGGUUGCUGGGUAGGAGAGCGUCCUGCAUGGGGCGAAGCGGCCGGGUAACCGUGCCGUGGACCGUGUGGGAGUGAGAAUGCAGACAUGAGUAGCGAGAGACGGGUGAGGAUCCCGUCCGCUGGAUGACCAAGGGUUCCGGGGCCACGUUCGUCGUCCCCGGGUGAGUCGGGUCCUAAGGCGAGGCCGACAGGCGUAGUCGAAUGGAUGAACGGGUGGAUAUUCCCGUACCGACCAUGGACCGGCAAAACCGAGACGGUGAGUACUAACCUCCGCCUCGUGGUGGUUCCUUCCUUCGGGUUGGUAUCGCCGCGUGGUGUUGGGAGCGUAGCCGCAGUAGGUCAGCGCAGGGGUGACACGGAAUGGGAGCCGGCCGCGGAGGUGGUUUUCCGUGGUCAAGCACGCAGCCAGUCAUGUAGGCAAAUCCGCAUGGCGCGCAUGGCGAGGUGUGAUGAUGGGAGCCGUUAUGGUUCGAUAUCCGGUUGUCCAGGCCGUCGAGAAAAGCCUCGGCGUGAGGGCCAUGGCCGCCCGUACCCCAAACCGACACUGGUGGUCAGGUAGAGAAUACCAAGGCGAUCGAGCGAAUCCUGGUCAAGGAACUCGGCAAAUCACUCCCGUGCCUUCGGUAUAAGGGAGACCCGCUGGGGUGAACCGGCUAGCCCGGGGAGCUUUGGUGGGUGGCACAGACCAGGGGGUAGCGACUGUUUACCAAAAACACAGGUGCAUGCGAAGGCGAAAGCCGCUGUAUAUGCACUGACGCCUGCCCGGUGCCGGAAGGUUAAGAGGAUCCGUCAAUCCCUUCGGGGACGAAGCGGUGAAUUCAAGCCCCGGUAAACGGCGGUGGUAACUAUAACCAUCCUAAGGUAGCGAAAUUCCUUGUCGGGUAAGUUCCGACCUGCACGAAUGGCGUAACGACUUCCCCACUGUCUCGACCAGGAGCUCGGCGAAAUUGCAGUACGAGUAAAGAUGCUCGUUAAGCGCAGAAGGACGAAAAGACCCCGGGACCUUUACUAUACCUUGGUAUUGGCGUUAGGCGCGGAUUGUGUAGCAUAGGCGGGAGGCUUCGAAGCGUGGGCGCCAGCUCAUGUGGAGCCGCAAGGUGAAAUACCGCUCUGUUCUCGUUUGACGUCUAACCUCGACAAGUCAUCCUUGUCAGGGACAGUGCCUGGCGGGUAGUUCAACUGGGGCGGUUGCCUCCCAAAGAGUAACGGAGGCGCUCAAAGGUCCGCUCAGCCCGGUUGGCAAUCGGGUGUCGAGUGUAAUCGCACAAGCGGGCUUGACUGCGAGGACGACGGUCCGAGCAGGGACGAAAGUCGGAGAUAGUGAUCCGGUGCCGGCGCACGGGCGCGGCAUCGCUCAACGGAUAAAAGGUACUCCGGGGAUAACAGGCUGAUCAUUCCCAAGAGUCCAUAUCGACGGGAUGGUUUGGCACCUCGAUGUCGGCUCGUCGCAUCCUGGGGCUGGAGCAGGUCCCAAGGGUUCGGCUGUUCGCCGAUUAAAGCGGCACGCGAGCUGGGUUCAGAACGUCGUGAGACAGUUUGGUCUCUAUCCUCUGCGCUCGUUGGAAUCCUGAGGAGGCCUGCCCAUAGUACGAGAGGACCUGGGUGGACGAACCUCUGGUAUGCCGGUUGUCGCGCCAGCGGCACGGCCGGUUGGCUACGUUCGGGAGGGAUAACCGCUGAAAGCAUCUAAGCGGGAAGCCUGCUCCAAGAUUAGGAUUCCAUGGAUCUUCGAGAUCCUGUAGCCCGCAUGUUGAACACGUGUUUGAUAGGCCGGAGGUGGAAGUCCCGUGAGGGGUGGAGCCGACCGGUACUAACGGGCGAUGGCGACACAAC